GACGAACGCUGGCGGCGUGCUUAACACAUGCAAGUCGAACGGAAAGGCCCUGCUUUUGUGGGGUGCUCGAGUGGCGAACGGGUGAGUAACACGUGAGUAACCUGCCCUUGACUUUGGGAUAACUUCAGGAAACUGGGGCUAAUACCGGAUAGGAGCUCCUGCUGCAUGGUGGGGGUUGGAAAGUUUCGGCGGUUGGGGAUGGACUCGCGGCUUAUCAGCUUGUUGGUGGGGUAGUGGCUUACCAAGGCUUUGACGGGUAGCCGGCCUGAGAGGGUGACCGGCCACAUUGGGACUGAGAUACGGACCAGACUCCUACGGGAGGCAGCAGUGGGGAAUAUUGCACAAUGGGCGGAAGCCUGAUGCAGAAACGCCGCGUGCGGGAUGACGGCCUUCGGGUUGUAAACCGCUUUAGCCUGUGACGAAGCGUGAGUGACGGUAAUGGGUAAAGAAGCACCGGCUAACUACGUG
rnacentral:rRNA from 1 species